GACGAACGCUGGCGGCGUGCCUAAUACAUGCAAGUCGAACGCAGUGGGGACGGGUGAGUAACACGUGGGUAACCUCCCAUCAGAGGGGAUAACACUUGGAAACAGGUGCUAAACCGAUACUGAUGGAUGGACCCGCGGUGCAUUAGCUAGUUGGUGGGGUAAAGGCUCACCAAGGCAACGAUCCGUAGCGGGUCUGUGAGGAGGACCAGCCACACUGGGACUGAGACACGGCCCAGACGCCGACGGGAGGCAGCAGUGGGGAAUCUUGGACACUGGGCGAAAGCCUGACCCAGCAAUCCCGCGUGUAUGAAGAAGGCUUUCGGGUUGUAAAGUACUUUUGGCAGAGAAGCGGUAUCUGCAGAGUAAGCACCGGCUAACUACGUGCCAGCAGCCGCGGUAAUAC
rnacentral:rRNA from 1 species